rnacentral:rRNA from 1 species
UACGGAGGGGGCUAGCGUUGUCCGGAAUUACUGGGCGUAAAGCGCGCGUAGGCGGUCCACCAAGUCGGGGGUGAAAGCCCGGAGCUCAACUCCGGAAUUGCCUCCGAAACUGGUGGACUGGAGUUCGGGAGAGGAGAGCGGAAUUCCCAGUGUAGAGGUGAAAUUCGUAGAUAUUGGGAAGAAACACCGGUGGCGAAAGCGGCUCUCUGGAACGGUACUG